CUACGGGAGGCACCAGUAGGGAAUAUUCGUCAAUGGGGGAAACCCUGAACGAGCAAUGCCGCGUGAAUGAUGACGGUCAUAUGAUUGUAAAGUUCUGUUGUUUGGGAAGAACACUUAGAGUAGGAAAUGGCUCUAAGUUGACGGUACCAUUCAAGAAAGCUCCGGCUAACUACGUGCCAGCAGCCGCGGUAAUACGUAGGGAGCGAGCGUUAUCCGGAUUUAUUGGGCGUAAAGCGUGCGUAGGCGGUUAAUUAAGUCAGUUGUUAAAUACUGGGGCUCAACCCCAGUCUGCAAUUGAUACUGGUUAACUUGAGUAGAGUAGAGGCAAAUGGAAUUCCUAGUGUAGCGGUGGAAUGCGUAGAUAUUAGGAGGAACACCAGUGGCGAAGGCGAUUUGCUGGGCUCUCACUGACGCUGAGGCACGAAAGCGUGGGUAGCAAAUAGGAUUAGAUACCCUCGUAGUC
rnacentral:rRNA from 1 species